GGUGUUGUAGCCUAGUGGUUAGAGCGUUCGAUUUACGACUUGAAGGUCGGGGGUUCGAUUCCUGAUACCA
rfam:Macrostomum lignano uti_cns_0000851, whole genome shotgun sequence.